UGGGGAAUAUUGCACAAUGGGCGGAAGCCUGAUGCAGCAACGCCGCGUGAGGGAUGACGGCCUUCGGGUUGUAAACCUCUUUUAGCAGGGAAGAAGCGAGAGUGACGGUACCUGCAGAAAAAGCGCCGGCUAACUACGUGCCAGCAGCCGCGGUAAUACGUAGGGCGCAAGCGUUAUCCGGAAUUAUUGGGCGUAAAGAGCUCGUAGGCGGUUUGUCGCGUCUGCUGUGAAAUCCCGAGGCUCAACCUCGGGCCUGCAGUGGGUACGGGCAGACUAGAGUGCGGUAGGGGGAGAUUGGAAUUCCUGGUGUAGCGGUGGAAUGCGCAGAUAUCAGGAGGAACACCGAUGGCGAAGGCAGAUCUCUGGGCCGUAACUGACGCUGAGGAGCGAAAGGGUGGGGAGCAAAACAGGCUUAGAUACCCUAGGUAGUCCACCCCGUAAACGUUGGGAACUAAGUUGUGGGGACCAUUCCACGGUUUCCGUGACGCAGCUAACGCAUUAAGUUCCCCGCCUGGGGAGUACGGCCGCAAGGC
rnacentral:rRNA from 1 species